GUGGGGAAUAUUGGACAAUGGGCGAAAGCCUGAUCCAGCCAUGCCGCGUGUGUGAAGAAGGUCUUCGGAUUGUAAAGCACUUUAAGUCGGGAGGAAGGGCCGCAGGCUAAUACCUUGGGGUCUUGACGUUACCGACAGAAUAAGCACCGGCUAACUUCGUGCCAGCAGCCGCGGUAAUACGAAGGGUGCAAGCGUUAAUCGGAAUUACUGGGCGUAAAGCGCGCGUAGGUGGUUGGGUAAGUUGGAUGUGAAAGCCCCGGGCUCAACCUGGGAACUGCAUCCAAAACUGCCUGGCUAGAGUACGGUAGAGGGUGGUGGAAUUUCCUGUGUAGCGGUGAAAUGCGUAGAUAUAGGAAGGAACACCAGUGGCGAAGGCGACCACCUGGACUGAUACUGACACUGAGGUGCGAAAGCGUGGGGAGCAAACAGG
rnacentral:rRNA from 1 species